GGCCCCGUGGCUCAAUGGCAGAGCAUCAGUUUUCGGCACUGAAGGUUGCAGGUUCGAGUCCUGCCGUGGUCA
rfam:Aspergillus wentii DTO 134E9 unplaced genomic scaffold ASPWEscaffold_4, whole genome shotgun sequence.